UUCUUGCAAUUCAACUUGGAUUUCUUAAAAUACGAUAACACUGCAGGGGAUUUUAGAAUUUUCACAUUUUUACGGAUGAUGGAAGGGAUUGACCAUAUAAUUCUUCACUCGUUGUGUCAAAUAGGCUGUGAUAUAGGAUACAGCAUAACAAAUCUCAGUGAUUUUAAUACAGAACUAGUGGUAGAAGCAACAGUGAAAUGUCUAGAUAUAAUAAGACCAGGUCUUGGAUUGUCUACAGUUUUACCUAUAAACAUGGCAGCCCGUUUUCGAUUAGGUGCCACGCUUGCUCAAGCAUGUGUAGAAUUAGGAUACAAAGGUGAUAUUGGUUACCAAACAUUUUUAUAUAAUUCAGAAGCUGACCUACGAAGAGUUUUUAUGUUUCUCAUUGAAAAACUACCAAAAGAAUAUGAUAAGACCUUAAAUGAACCUAUUAGUAAUAUUGCAUUAUUAGAAAAGUCUAUAGCAUCAGAGGUAUCGCAAGGAUUUACAAUCCCAUGGUUACCACAUUAUUGUCAUACAAAAGGAUUUAGAAAUAGAGGCAGAGCAAGCAUCCCUUAUGUAUCUGUGAAUUUAGAAAUACCGACAUCAGAAGGUGGAGAAGAGUAUCAAGAUUAUUGUGUACAUUAUCUGCAAACUGUGCCUAAACAAGUGCAAAAUCAACAAUCAUUUUUACCUUCUCUGAUAUCCUAUAACGCGAAGGCUCUUCAUUCGCACCCUACGAAUAUACUUGAUCGAAUAAAUUGGUUAAAUAAAGAACACUGCAAUAAAGUUACUUGUGUUAAUGCAUCAAGUGACAUUAAUGUUCUUAAUAGGGUAUCAAUAAAAGAUACAAUGUUGACUUCCAAACAACCUCAGGUAAAAGAUGAGAGUAUUAAAAAACCUAUGCUUCCAAAUCAAGAAAUAUUAAAUAAAACGGAAAAACAGGAAUUAGAAGUAGAAAAGAUAAAAAAAGAAUGUGAAACUCUUAAAAAUAAUAUGGAAGAACUACAAGAUGAGAUUAGAAAAUUAAGUACUAAUAUAACACAAAUAACAAUAAAUUAUCAAACUGAAGAAAAAGAGUUAACAAUUAACGAGGAACAAAAGAAAAUUAAAUUAAGAAUUUGCGAUCUACUUCAAGAUGGCGAAGAGAAUAUUAAGAAACUAGAGACAGCAAUUGCAGCUACUACAAAUAAAUUAAUUAAUUUAGGUAAUCAGUGGGAUGAAUAUAGGGUACCAUUAAUUCAAAGAUAUAGACAAGAACGGGAAAAGCAUUCAACGAAAGCUAGCGCAAGUCAAAAGACACUCGAUGAAAUUAAAUUACUGAUAGAAAAGGAAAAAGAACUUCAGGAGGAAUGUCAUAACAAAAAUCAACAAUAUUCGCAAUUAGUAACAGAAUUUAAAAAACUUAAGUCAGUAGUGAAUAGAUCUGAAUAUACUCAACAAAUUUUAGAAAUAAUUAAUAAUGUUAAGAAACAAAGGGACGAAAUCAAUAAAGUUUUAGUUGAUACACGGGAAAUCCAAAAAGAAAUCAACACGCUUACAGGCAGAAUGGAGAGAUCAUUUACAGUUGUUGAUGAAUUAAUAUUUCGAGAUGCAAGGACAAACGAAGCAUCGAGAAAAGCGUACAAAUUGCUAGCUACGCUUCACUCCGAUUGCAGUGAACUUGUAAGUUUAGUCGAAGAAACAGGUGCCACUAUACGAGAAAUUAGGGACUUAGAAGAACAGAUCGAUUCUGAAUCCGCGAAAAAUGUUGGAGCAAAUUUGGAAAGAAUAACUGCUGAUUUGGAACAAAUGAAACAAGAAACGGCAGCAUUAACUGCGCAACUACAAAAUAAAUCUUCGUGAUUGUUAUAUAAUAUAAGGUACUACAAUACGAGUCGUAAUAACAACGACCAGAACAUUCCUUACAAACGAAUACGAAGACCAAACCUGUUAAGACUAAUUGCUAAAUGUGUGCCUUGGUCCGAAGUUAUGUAAUACUAAAUGUGCUUAAAAUUGGGCCAAGCAUGUGACAUAAAUUUAUUCAAUACCAACGCUCAAACGGAAUGUUAUUUGUUACAGAGCCUAAUAAUUUUUUAGUAUAAAAUUUAAUUGUAUAAUUAACUUUCAUAUUUCUAAGAAAUAAACGGCUUUGGAGAA